rnacentral:rRNA from 1 species
CCUACGGGGGGCAGCAGUGGGGAAUAUUGCACAAUGGGGGAAACCCUGAUGCAGCGACGCCGCGUGAGCGAUGAAGUAUUUCGGUAUGUAAAGCUCUAUCAGCAGGGAAGAAGAUGACGGUACCUGACUAAGAAGCCCCGGCUAACUACGUGCCAGCAGCCGCGGUAAUACGUAGGGGGCAAGCGUUAUCCGGAUUUACUGGGUGUAAAGGGAGCGUAGACGGCGGUGCAAGCCAGAUGUGAAAGCCCGGGGCUCAACCCCGGGACUGCAUUUGGAACUGUAUGGCUGGAGUGUCGGAGAGGCAGGCGGAAUUCCUAGUGUAGCGGUGAAAUGCGUAGAUAUUAGGAGGAACACCAGUGGCGAAGGCAGCUUACCAAUCUAUAUCUGACGUUGAGGCACGAAAGCGUGGGGAGCAAACAGGAUUAGAUACCCCAGUAGUC